CUAACCAUAGGCCAUGAAUCUGGUCUUGGGACACUGUCAGGUGGGCAGUUUGACUGGGGCGGUCGCCUCCCAAAAGGUAACGGAGGCGCUCAAAGGUUCUCUCAGUACGGUCGGAAAUCGUACGUAGAGUGUAAAGGCAAAAGAGAGCUUGAUUGCAAGACAUACAGGUCGAGCAAGGAUGAAAAUCGGACUUAGUGAUCCGGUGGUUCUGCGUGGAAGGGCCAUCGCUCAACGGAUAAAAGCUACCCUGGGGAUAACAGGCUUAUCUCCCCCAAGAGUCCACAUCGACGGGGA
rnacentral:rRNA from 1 species